rnacentral:misc_RNA from 1 species
CCGAGUUAUCAACUCCCAAACCCCUGUGAACAUACCUCGACGUUGCUUCGGCGGGACCGCCCCGGCGCCCUCACCGGCCCGGAACCAGGCGCCCGCCGGAGGACCCAAAACUCUUGUUUUAAUUAGUGGAUUAUUCUGAGUCUCAAAAACAUAAAUGAAUCA